rnacentral:lncRNA from 1 species
GCCAUCCUCGCCCCUGUGGCGGAAAUGGGAGGGUGCCUGGAGGAGUGGAGGGAUUGGAUUUACACCCUCUUUUCCCUCCGAAGCCUCCUUGGUGGGGGCGAAGAAAGACCAUCCAACCCUGCCAAAGGCAAAAGGAUUAAGGAUAAAUGAAAGCAAGAUAAUGUAGAAGAACUACUUAGCUGCUGGGUUUUUGGAGAUGAGUGAUUUUUUUUUGUAGGGAGAAAUUAUGAAACACAUUGAAAUGGACAAAAAAUUACUGAAUGUCUUCAAUGAAAAAACAGCCAUAGUUUGGCACACCGUCCCGGGCAUUCUGUUGCUAGAGGGGCUGUCCGCUUUUCUUUGUGGUGCUCUGCACAACUCGGUAAGACCCCUCGUAUUGUUAUCUUACCCUUCCUUGGGAAAAGCCAUUUUGCAUCGAUUUGUAAAUUCAUUCCCCAGUCCUGAUUCAACAAUAUAGAUGGGUGCUUUAAAUUCUGCUUAGAGCUGGUUCUAACAGCUUACUGGUCCCCGGGUUAAUGAGUAAAUAAAUUUUUUACACGUG